rnacentral:rRNA from 1 species
GAUGAACGCUGGCUACAGGCUUAACACAUGCAAGUCGAGGGGAAACGACGGGGAAGCUUGCUUCCCCGGGCGUUGACCGGCGCACGGGUGAGUAACGCGUAUCCAACCUGCCUCUGACUGAGGGAUAACCCGUCGAAAGUCGGCCUAAUACCUCAUGGCAUCGUCUGCGGGCAUCCAACGACGAUUAAAGAUUUCAUCGGUCAGGGAUGGGGAUGCGUCUGAUUAGCUAGUUGGCGGGGUAACGGCCCACCAAGGCGACGAUCAGUAGGGGUUCUGAGAGGAAGGUCCCCCACAUUGGAACUGAGACACGGUCCAAACUCCUACGGGAGGCAGCAGUGAGGAAUAUUGGGCAAUGGGCGAGAGCCUGAACCAGCCAAGUAGCGUGCAGGAUGACGGCCCUAUGGGUGGUAAACUGCUUUUAGGCGGGGAUAAAGUGAGGGACGUGUCCUUCAUUGCAGGUACCGCAUGAAUAAGGACCGGCUAAUUCCGUG